GGGUUUCGCCAUGUUGAUCAGGCUGUUCUCCAACUCCUGACCUCAAGUGAUCUGCCUGCCUCACCCUCUGAAAGUGCUGGGAUUACAGGUGUGAGCCACCGUCCCCGGCCCCAAGAUUUUAUUUUAAAAUAACAAAAACAAGAAACUCCUGGUCAGGUGUGCUGCCUAAUGCAAUUCCCAGAAAAGGCCCCUGUCCUCCCACAGCUCUGUGAGCUGCUGACAGGCAAGAAGCCAAUGACAAGUUUCAUGUCCUUCCUUCCCUGAAUCCCUCCAGGGAAUGAAGAGAAGAGGGUGUGGAGAAUGACUUUUAAUUACAUCAGACCAUAAAUGCUGAAACCCCUUGCACAGCUCUUGGAACAGAGACACAACAUGCAAAUGUUAAUCCCCUGCUUCUCCCGCCUGGAUUGUGCCUCUGCUUAGCAGGGACGGGCAACUCCUUGGUAUACGAGCACAGAGGCAAAACCAGGAGGUGCAAACAUAACCAGCUUCAUUUAAAUGAGGACAAACUGGAGCAGGAAAAGAACCGGCAAAUUCAUGUUGGAAGAAGCUAGAGCGGGCAUAGCUAGCAGCCUGCUCUCUCGCACAGCUGAAGGAAAUCUAUGUGGAUCACCUUGUUACUUAUGGAUGGGUUUUAUAAUCCUGCACCUUUGUGGAUUUAAGAUUUCUGUAGAUUUAGGGCAGGGUUUUAUUCUACCAAUUAGUCUUUCUUUUCCUCCCUCCCAUUAUGUGUUCUUCAAGCUCUUUAAUUUUAUCUUCAACUGCACUGGCCGAGACCGUUUCCCCCAUUAACUAUUUGUGAUCACAGUUUACUGCAAGCCUGCUUGACCCAGCUUAUAUCUAAGGAUUAUGGGGUCAUGUGAUUCAGAGUUGGGAGAGAAUAGAAUCCAACUCCCUCCAGAGCCAGAGUCUUCUUCCCAAGGCUCUUUCAGACCCUGCCUCAGUUCUACUUCUUCAACAAGGAGGUUGUCACUUUCUGAGGAAGGCUGCUUCCUUUCAGUGGUAAAGAAGCACAUCUGCAAGAAAGUUCUUUCUUCUCCUAUCCCUUUAAGAUUUAAACCAAGAUGAGUGAGUGAUGCUGUGUUUGGGAGUAGGCAUUUGACUCCUUUCUGACACCACUGGGAGCCCCACACGGCCUUGGGCCUUGGCGGAUUCCACAGGGAACUGACAACAUUCUUUGGAGAGACACUGAAACAACCAGCCCCACUCUAUCCUCUCGAAAUGCCUCCAAGGAUCCCAGACUUUUGUGAAAGGAGGUAGUCGAAGGACUCUAGGGACGCUUGAGCCUAGAAGACGAUGAACAACCUCUUUCUUACACUUGAGUCAGGGCUCAGUUCUGCUCUGAGAUCCUGCAACUCUUCUUUGUAGACACCAGCCAAUGGCACUCUUGAAAUUUUUGAAAACAGGAUCCUACAGAGACUUGUGUGUAUAUCUCCACAGACCAAGUAUUAAACUACCACUUCAGCGCCAUGGUUCUUUGUGAUUUUAAAUGUGGGUGAGUGGGUGUCCAAGUGCUGAAACCUCAAUUCUAGGCUUCUGAAAUCUAGAAGGAAUAACCAUCUGAGUGUGAAGGAAAGAACACAAUUUCUUUAAACUCUACACCAGCUGCACAAAAAGAGAGAAGAAAACUAGAAAAUUAGCCCUGAGUUUCUGCAUCAGGUGGAAGGUCAGCUUCAGAGAGUAGACUGUAGCUCCUGGAAUUUGAUCCUUCUAUUCAAAAGCAAGUGACUGUGGGCUGAGUAGCUCCUGGGCUUGGUGCUACUCAAGGGAUAUAGGAAUGCGCAAGCCUUAGGUCACCUUGCUCUCCUAUUAGAAGAAGGAGAUUAUCAAUAAUUGUCCUGGGUCCAGGGGAAGAUGGAAAACGAGUUUCCUGUCUUAACUCCUUUGAUUCCUACUUCAGCAAGUUCUGAUGAACACACCUAGGAGAGGGAGAAUCUACUCACAGAGGCAUGGAUGAUGAUAAGAAGACUGAGGCUCAGAGAAGCAAAGCAGCCCAUCCAAGUUUCCCCAAUGAACAUGUUUAAAUGGAAGAGAGAGGAAUGAGAGAGGAAGGCAAGAAUACAAAUAUUUAAGAAAGCUUUAUUUUCCUGAAGCAAAGAAUGACACUUGAAACCGAGGGAAUCUCAAUGUCCACCUUGCAUUUCCAUGACCAGCAAGAGAGGGGAACCCCUACAGGAAUGUUCAUCCUCUGCCUCUGACCUGGGAAGUCUCAGUCAUCCCCGAGGACCAAUUCCAAAUGUCAAUUCAUUCACCACCAUUGCCCUUGUCAUUGCAUCCACUCCUCCUCUCUCUCUGACUUGUGUUAAUGGUAGGUAACUGUGUAUGAAUCUAGGCUGGGGGUUUGUCUUUGAGGUCAAGGACUAUUUCUGAUUCACUGUGUGUCUCCCUAAAUCCUUCUUCCACCCAGCAAAGAUGCUCAAAAUAUAUAUACAAAUGAUAGCCCUUUGUCCUGUACCUUUUCUGAGCUUUGGAAUGUCUCUCUGUACUGAUAGAGCAUCAUGCAACAGACCCAGCAGAGGAGGAAAUAGCUGUGAGAUUAUCUGCCCAUUAUAGCAGGAUUCAAAGAAAGCUGCUUUCAUGCCAGGAAGCCAGGGGAUCGUAGUAAACGGCUGUCUUUAACCAAAGACAGGGAUCUUCCACUAUUAGGAGGGAUCUUCCACUAUUGAAAGUUGAGACCCUGGGACCCCUGUCUCAUCUAUCUCUGCCAUCAGACCUGCCGCUUCUCACAUAGUUGCAUAUGGACAAGAUGCCUCAUUUUGGUGUGCACUGGGAGAUCUGGCCUAUCCAUGAAACUCUCUCCAUUGGUUGCCUGUUGAAAGGGCUCCCUACCAAUUUGGUCAUAACACAGACCAAAUUGAGGAGGUUAAAAGAGAUCAAGUGUCUGAACAUGGCUUCUUUGGACUCUAGGAGGAGUUGAUCAAGUGUCACUCCAGUGCAUAUACUGUUUUUAUGCACAGUAUGGAUUUGAACAUCCUGGUGAGUGAGUCCAUGUUAACAGUAUGUUCUCAAGCAGGAAUAUGCAGCUCUAGCUUCUGUUUUUAGAAAGCUCAGAGAUUUUUUGCACUGGAAGAGAAUUAGACAUCCAACAUCCUCAUUUCAAAAGGAAACUGAAGUCAGAGAGGAGAAGGGACUUCCCAAUGGUACAUAACCUGCUAUUGGCAAAGGUGGGACCAGAGCCCUUAAGUUUUUCAACUUCUCCAGCAAAUUCCUCAUAUCUAAGAGCAACGCUUCAGUUUUCCUUAAUAAAGUGCCCCAGAUCCUCACAUUCAUCCCUUUCAGAGUGCAACUUCCUACUUGGUUUACAAAUGAGUCAAGAAAAGAAAAUCUCCUCUUUAGCAAUGUAGUGUGGGACCAGCUCACUUGAGUAUGCAAAACUUGUCCUUGAGAGCUGCUAGCUCUUUACUAUUUUUUCUGGGUGCAACAGUGUGCAUGUCACCCCACCCUUACUGCCUGGCUGUCUUCACACAUCACCUUCUCUGAGAGUGCUUCUCUAAUAUCCCCACCCAAAGAGCUCCCCACAUAUGCAAAUCCAUUGAUUAUCAUGUCUCUUUGCUUUUUCAGUCUCCAUGAAAAUUAUUGAGACCUAAGAUGUAAGACCUAUUUCUGAUUAUUUUGUUUAUUGGUUGUCUUCUCCCACCAGAAUGUAAGCCACAUGAGGUUAGGAGCCUCUCUGUCUUAUUCUCUGUAGUAUCUCUGGCUCCUAGAGUACUGCCUGGUACAGGGUUGCUACUUCAUUAUUUCUUACUGUAUAUGAGAAUGAAUGAGUGAAUUGAAAAGCAAUUGAACUCUGGUUGUGCCUUACAGGUAUAGCAGAAGUUGUCUGCACAGAGAGGAAGGAAGGAGACGAUCUUUGAUAUGAAUUCUGUUGGCCAAUGAGGCCUAGAAUGUUAACAAUUAAUGGCCACAUUUUCCUAGUUAACUACAAAGCAAGAGUGAAAAGGAGAUAAUGUUGGACUAACUAUUUGACUACAUUGUCUGAUUUAUCCAAAAGGUGGUAUGGAAUUUUGAUCCAGUAGUGGUACAUCAUCUUUGAUAAUACACACGUACACAUAAGGGAGUGUACACACCCAUAUACACUCACUCACACUCUGCUAUUGCCUACUACCUAUUAGAUACUCCCAACAAAAGCUCUUAAACUAAAAAUGACAUGGUGUUGUUAAGUUUCUCAGGGAAAUCCACCUAUCUAUGGAACUCAAGAGAGCAGAGGGCUGGUCUCUGGAGAAAAAUAAAACAGGGUCAAAAACCAAUUUUAUUUGUUAUUUUUCACUGGAAAUACAUGGUUAAUCCAAGAACUAGCAAAGAGGUGUUGAAAAAGAUUCUCUGAUGUCAUUUGUUUUUUCUUUUUCUUUUUUUUUUUUUUUUUUUUUGAGACGGAGUUUCUCUCUUGUUGCCCAGGCUGGAGUGCAAUGGCACAAUCUCAGCUCACUGCAACCUCUGCCUCCCAGGUUCAAGCGAUUCUCCUGCCUCAGCUUCCUGAGUAGCUGAGAUUACAGGAGUGCGCAACCAUACCUAGCUAAUUUUGUAUUUUUAGUAGAGGCGGAGUUUCUCCAUGUUGGUCAGACUGAUCUCAGACUCCUGACCUCAAGUAAUCCACCUGCCUCAGUCUCCCAAAGUGCUGGGAUUACAGGCCUGAGCCACCGAGCCCAGCCUCAUUUGUUUUUUCAUACAGAUAUAUCUCAUCUGCAUUAGAGGUAGAUCCAAGAUUAAGAUGUGAACAUGUUCCAGCUUUAAUUUCAGUUGUUUUUCUUUUUUAAAUAAAGAAAAGCCAGCAAUACAAUUUGUUUCUCAUUGAGCACUAUACACAUUCAGCUAUGACUGAGAAUUUAGAAGAUACAAAUUCAAACUCCAGUUUAAUUUCCUUUUUCCUGUUUGACUCCAAGCUCAGUAGGUGAUCUUAUAAGUUGACAGGGGUAACAUUGCACCUAUUAGCACUUGUCAACCAAAAGUAGAUUGUUCGGGUUUCAAUAAAUGUUUUUUUGAAUUGGAUUUAGGUUGGUGAGAAAAUAUAUUAAGUCAGAAUUCUUUGAGGCAAAUUACAUAUUGAAAUGAACAGUUUGGUGUUCAUCCUGUCUACCAUCCCCCUCAAAAACAAAGAGACAGACAGAAAGAAAAAAAAAGCAGAAGUUUUGCUUUUCUAAGCUACGAGAAUUUCUUCUGCUGCUACAUCUGUGAACGCUUUACAAGGCAAUGUCUACAGUUUGAGUUUUACAGCCCAUUUUGAUUGCAGUUUACAUGACAUCUGGGGCUCUAUUUUUGGAGAAAUUUCAAAGCUAGUGACUUCCAGUUUUUAAUCAGCAGUGUAUUUAUUUUCUACCCUAGCAUAAUUGUUCAUGGCUCCACAUUGAUUUUUUUAUAGGAGACAAUGCAAAAUGAUAAUCAGAGUGAAUUAGUAAUUUGAUCUUGUAUCUGUCAAGGCUUGAUGGCUUUUACCUGCUCUAGAGGCUAGAAGGCAAUGUGCUGACCUCAUUGUGUUGAAAAAAAUUGAACACAUCGUGGUUGUCAAGGACAAGACAUUCUCAGUCAUAAGAACAAAGAGAGCAAGAAAGGCUAAUGAGGGAAGAGGCCAUACAACCCUGAAAAGUACACAGCCUCCUGCCCCUCUGCUCAGAAUCUGGGGUCAUGUUUGCAGCCACAGGUGCCACAUGCAGAAGUGUCAGAGGUGUGAAAACCAGAGCAACUCCAUCUUGAAUAGGAGCUGGGUAAAAUAAGGCUGAAACUUGCUGGGCUGCAUUCCCAGACAGGUUAAGGCAUUCUAAGUCACAGGAUGAGAUAGGAGGUUGGCACAAGGUACAGGCCAUCAAGACCUUGCUGAUAAAACAGGUUGCAGGUUGCAGUAAAGGAGCCAGCCAAAAACCACCAAAACCAAGAUGGCCGUGAGAGUGACCUCUGGUCAUGCUCACUGCUGCACUGCCACCAGCGCCAUGACAGUUUACAAAUGCCAUAGCAAUGUCAAGAAGUUACCCUGUAUGGUCUAAAAAGGGGAGGGAUUAAUAAUCCACCCCUUGUUUAGCAUAUCAUCAAGAAAUAACCAUAAAAAUGGGCAACCAAUAGCCCUCAGGGCUGCUCUGUUUACAGAGUAGCCAUUCUUUAUCCCUUUACUUUCUUAAUAAACUUACUUUCACUUUGCACCACGGACUUGCCCUAAAUUCUUUCUUGCGCGAAACCCAAGAACCCUCUCUUGGGGUCUGGAUAGGGACUCCUUUCCAGUAGCGCAUUUAACAGAAGGACAGGCUGUGCAGACAUUAUUUUCGCUCCUUUCUACUGAGAAGGGAAAACACCACAAUUGAGCAGCCUGCUCCUCUAUAAGUGAAUGAAUAAGCACUUGCUUUUCAUUGUGGGUGAGUCAAAUGGCCUGGCAUAUAUGCAAGUAAGAACUAGAGCAGAGGCUGCUCACCUGCAAACUCACAUCAGGGCUUCUGCCCGGAAUUACGGUAUUUUUUGUUUGUGUGUGUGUUGUUGUCAUUGGCUUCUUUUCAUAGGGGUUUGGAUGAAGCUAUUUAAACACAUGAGACAGCAGCCACUAGGACUGUAUCUAAGAAGGUAAGUGGUUUGCCCAGGGUUACAUGGCUAGUGGAAGAGCUAGUCUUUACAAGAAUCUUUUACAUAAACCAAACCAGGUGAGGUAGGAUCAAUAAGAGGGUGAAGUGAGGAACCGACAUUUUUAAGAGCUCCAUGAAAUGAAGGAGCUUGGAGAGAAAAUUGAUAGAUGGUACUUUCAGUAGCCCAGCCUCCUCCUGUAAUUUCUGGCUUCACCUUUCUCUAAGCCCUCCUUUGCUCUGAGUUCUGUCUGGGCAAGUCCCAAGCUCCUGGAAUGCAUCUUUGCCUUCCUUAUCUGGAAGCUAAUCACUAAAUAGCAGGUGGCGGAGAUUCUGGUUUUCAUCCCUCUUUCUCUCUCCCUUUCUCUCUUUUACUCACUUCCUCAGGGCUAUGAAUUUCUGAAUCUUAAACAGGAAACCUCCCUGAUUUGUUCACACCUGGAAUGCCAUUCUAUCUUUGUUUGAAGAGUGCAGAAAUUAGAGCGCGGGAGAAUCAAGAGAAGGAGCUGUUGUGUGAAGAGGGAAGAGAGAGGUCAGCAUUUAAAUGUGAACACACACACUGAGAGGCACAUAUACAUGCACACAGUUUAAUCUAAGCUAAGCAUUCUUUCUUUCAACUCCUGCAUUUCCCUCCUCAUCUCCACUGCCAGCAAAUGUCUUACAAGACAAAGAGUAUUUACUGUGUGUCACUUCAGUUAUCAACACUCUGCACAAAUAGGUUGACAGAGGAAACAGGCAAAGUACCUUUGCAGGCCCAUUUGGGGUUGAAAUAGCAACUAGACUGCCUAGAGGCUGCCAGAUAUUAGCUUACUUAUUGCUCCUGCAAAUGUUAGAAGCUGGCUCUUGAGAGAACCUGUCAUCAACAUCCCUGUCCCCGUGGGUGUCAGGAAGGUUCGGCCUUCUUUAAGGUAGGCACUGUGUCCUCAUGGACUGUUCAUUUUGGGAAGAACCUUGGGAGAUCACCUGGUUCAAGCUCCUGGCUUUAGUCAUUGUUUGUCUCUAAAUCCAGAGACCAAUGUUUGUGAUCUACUGACUCGUAAGCUCCCUAUGAGGAAAAUGGAACAAAAUAUUGGGCACAAAGACAUAAAUCUAAAUGCAUGGUUUCUAAUCUGUGGACCCUGAGAUCCCACAGGAGCACCAUAUUUGCAUGAAUCAGUGCUUAUAGGUUGACCAAAUAGCAUGAUUCACACACAUAUAUUAUAAUACUUCUAAUGGUUUUAUUCAUUCAUUCUACAAAUACAGUACUGCUUUGUGCCAGAAACUGUGGUAGGUGCUGAGCAUAUAAUAGACAGGGAAUAAGUCAAACUGACUCUGCCUUCAUGGAGCUUCCUGUCCAGUGGUAAAAACAGGCAGAGAGAGCUGCAGAAACACAGAGUGAAAGCAAUAACUCAGAUUUGGAAUAUUAUAUAGAUAAGGUUAUGAUUAAUAGAACUCAAAUUCCUUUAAAGGUAGUAGUCUCUGUCUGCUAUUAAGCAUUUGCUCUACCAAUGCAUUCCUAAAUGUAUUUUUAUCUACAUGACUAUACAUGUUUUCAGAUUCAAAUGUGCUCUCCUGACUAAAAAGAUUGGAUACCACUGACCUAAAUCAUCUGCUAGGAUUGCCUUUUCUAUCCCAGGUGAAUAAAUUAAAUAGCUAUGUAGUUUUCCCUUUGCCACUGGAAGUUUCACUGAAAAAUCAACUCAUGAAAGGCAGAUUAAUAAGAGAAAAGGCAUAGAUAUUUGUUCACAUUCAUGCGAGAAUCACAGGGUGAUUUCCCAAUAUCCCAGUGGGUUACAGAUGCUUGUAUACCUACUUCUUGAGGGAAAGAGAGAUGGGACAUUGUGGAUGACUUUAGGGACAUUAGUAAAUAAUUUUCAGGGCAAUUCAAUGGCUGUGAAGAAUAUACAAUGGCCUGGGAGAAAGUCUGUUGGGCCCACAGAGCAGAGAGUAGUUUGUGAUAAAAGUCUGCCCAUGUUUGUUGACAGACUUCAGUUUUUCUUCCUGCGAUAUGAGUUCAGUUAAUGAAAAUUCAGAGAAGGGAUCAGAAGUAAUUGUUUUCGUCUUUGGUAGGUGUAGAUCUUAGGCAGAUAAGGGAAUUUCAGAGAACAGCUUCAUCCUUCUCCAUGAUAGAAGUAAAGGAUUGAGAGACAGAAGCGGGUAGAGAGGGAAAAACAAUUGUUCUCCUUGGUGGGUCCGUCUGAUCUUUACGUAGAUAGGGGGAAAGUCUCCUCCAGCAUCUGUUGAUCUCAAAGGACCUUUAAUUUAAAAUACCCAUUAUACCAGGGAGCUAUAUUUUGGGUGAAGUUUCCUGUGCUCCUUCAGCAAGAAAUAAUAUUUUACCAAUAUUCCAGUAACCCUCAGGGAACAAUUUUUUCAUAGUUCUACACUGGCUUUGCAUCACUGAAAAUUAAUCUCAGAGUUCUCUGUACCCCAUAACCCAAGAAUGCUACGUCUCUGGGGAACCCUGCAGAAACCCAGAAAGAGCAUGAUCAUUUGGUUAUAAAUUCCACCUCCCUAGUGGGCAGCCUCAUCUCUGUCCUUGACAUGGGUGAGGUUGGAGGCAAAGGUUUGUUGUUGAUUUUGGUAUGCUAUGGAAUACCAGGCCUGGAGCCACAGGACAUGACUUGUUGCUCUAUUAGACAUGCUAAAUAAGCUCCUGAAACAAAGAAAUCAAGCGAAGAUUAGAUGGGAGGAUUUUCUUGUCAAGAAUUAUGAAUGCAAAAAUAACCCUGAAAAUAUAGCUAUAGUUGAAUAGGGGCUGGGCAAGACAAUGGACAGAAAGAUUUGUUAGACAUAAGAUCCCACUUAAAUCAAAAUGAUCCACCAAGGCUCAGCUCCCAAUGGGGUCUCUAUGUGCAGAUUCAAGGGUAGAAAUAUUGUAGGGACGUUUUUAGUAUCAAUUCUGCAUUAGACAAUGUGAUAGGUAUCAAGCCUACAAAUACCAAUGAGAUAUAGUCCUUUAACUGUCUUCUUUUAGUUAAAAAAAAAAGUAAUUGUCAAUACUCAUUAAAAAUAUAAAUAAAUAAAUAGUAUUUUAAACUUUGUGACAAUGGGCAGAACAGCAACAAGGAAAGCAGGCCAAGGCACUGGGUUUGGAGUCAAGAGAUGGGUUUUAUCCUGGUUAUAUGUUGAAUUUACUUCCCACCUUGGGCAAAUCACUUCCCUAUCUAAUCAGUUUCCUAACCUGUAAAAUGACAAAAAUCACUUCCACUUCCUAGUUUUAUGAUUCCAGGUCCAAUACAAGAAGGAAUUUCUUUUAAGGGCCCCCUUAAUCUGGUCAAAGUUAUCCUUCCCAGCAGGGCAGAAACUUCACCUGUUUGCAUUAGGCCUGGGUUGUGGGAUAAGCUAUCUCCUGACAGACCCCAAGAGUCUCCAUCUUCCAGUCCUCCCCAAGUGACCCCAUGAGAAGACGUAUUAAAGGAAGGAAUUCAAAACAGUAUGGCCCAUGUAAAGAGUAUCCUUUAGGAACAGGAUCUGUUUACUUAGUGGCUGGAAACUUAAAUGCAUGCAUUGUAUACCGCCCAACCCCCAACUCCCCACCCCCACUGCUAUCAUAGCCAUUAAAAAAAGGAGCAUAGCAGAUCUCUGACAGUUAGACCUUACCCAUUUUCAGCUCUGGACUUUCACUGAGGUAAUAUCUUUACCUGUUGCCAACUAGACCUGUUGGUGUGUGUAACUGUUUCUUCAUUCUGACUCAUCACACCUUGCUUGUGGCAGCGAACCCAGGCGCCAUUGUUUCCUGGUGAUCUCUGGCCUACUUUUUCCCAAACGCUGUGAGGCAGCCAUGGAGCCUUGUGAAAGAGAUUGACUUUCUCUCAGGUAGCCAAGGGCCUUUGGGACAGCUACCUCCUGAUCCCCUUUAACCCCAGGGGGAACUCUGAAGGCUGAGCCCCUCCUAAGUUACAACAUAGAAGUUAGUUCCAGUAAAACUUUCCAGGCUCUGCUAAUUCCAUAAGGGACUCUUAAAGAAUGAGAAAUGGAAGCCCAAGGUCUGCAUAAAAUCCUACAUGUGCUAAGCCCGCCAAAAUCAGUUUGUUGAGGAGAAGGAGCACAGUAGGAAGAGCUUUUGUAUUUUCAAUUCAGAUAAACCCCAGUAAGACUAGCCAUAGGGCAACAUAGAACUGCUUAUGGUUCCAUAUAUCUUGCUGUAUUUUCAUUCCAUGCCUUACCAUUUAAAAUAUUAUUUAAUUAUCUUUUUAGUGAGUAUUGCCAAUUACCGUUUUCUUUGCUAAAAGAAGACAGUUAAAGGACUAUAUUUUCUUGGUAUGUGUAGGCUUGGUGCCUAUCACAUUCCAUUCCAAAAACAUGUGCCUAAUGUUUCUGGAAUGUCCUCUCCCAGUCCACAGCCUCUCUUCACUGAGCUAAUUGCUACUUGUCCUUAACACUCAGCUCAAACAUCACCUCCUCCAGGAAGUCUCCACUGACCUCCCCCUUUGCAUUAGAUGCCUGUCUUGAUACAUCCCCCUAAGGCGUUCUGUGUAGCUCUACCUGUGCACUUUACCAUAUUGUUACAUAUUUACCCAUCUUUCUCACCUAGGCUCUACACCUUCUGUAGAACUAACUCAUGUUAUUCAUCUUUUUUCCUCUCCAUAGCUUACUACAUGGCCUUGUAUGUUUAUUGUAUGAAUAAACAAUCUGGUUCAUCCACUUAUUAGGUGUGUGUUCUGGGCAAUUUAAUUCACUUCUCUGAGCCUCAGUUUUCUCAUCUAUUAAUUGGAAAUAACAAUCCAUGUCUCUUAGAGAUAUUGUUCAUAUGAAGAGGUGACAUAUGUAAAGGCCUUCCACAAUGCUGACACAUAGGCACAGAGUCAAUUCACCUAGGGCUGUGGAUUUGCACAGGAAAUGAAGAAAAAACACAAAAGCAGCAAGCUCAGAGCAAUGAAGACUCUUGCUGUCAGUGUGCAGACCCUUUCCUCCAUGGAUGUAUUGUCCCAACCAGCGCUCCCUUGCUGCAAGGGAGCCUGGAAGUCCUUUUUUUCCCUUUUUUUCCUUCCUUCUUUCCUUUCGUUUUCUCCUUUAUUCCUUCCUUCCUUUCUUCCUUUUUUUCUCUCUUUUCGUAAAUGAGAAACACAUGAGUGAAUCAUUUUUAUAAGUUUUCCUGGGAAUCCAGCAUCUCUAGCCAGAAUAUUAAUAACGUGGUUACUCUGAUGAUUUCUCCCAUUGACCCUAAAAACCUAGACAUUCUCUUUUAUAGGUAGGUCUCUUCAAGUGAGGUCAGCUUCUCCAGAUAAUUUCUGGUGAUUUAUGCAGACACCUUGGGGAGGAAAAAAGGAAGCAGCACUGAUCUGAGCCUCCUGGAAACUCAACAAGUGGCCUGACCCUUGAAGGGUUUCUUCACCGUGUCUGGUAAAGUUUCCAAAUUCUGGAGAUGUGGAAGCAGAGGCACAUUACCAGAAGGCCAGGUAAUAAGCAUGUUGGCAAGUACUACUGCUGGCCCUGACCCACCAUAUCAUACCACAGGACCAUCCACACCCAUCCCCUAUCCCAAAACCACACAUCCACACUCCCCACCACCACCUUAACACACACACACUGCUCAUUUCCCUCUGGAGAUAUGCAGGGCUCUCCAUGGUCAAAUGACCCUAAAUCCUCUGGUGAAUCAGGUUGAAUCAGAGCCCAUGAGUCAUCCAGAGCACAUCUAACCCAGGGUUAAUUUAUUCAGCAAUCAUUAAGAAAGCAAGUUCCUACUGCCAGGUGCCGUCCUAGGCAUGACAGGCUGAUGUUUCUAGAACAUAUUUGACAGCCUUUCUCCCCAAGUCACACCAUGAAGGAGAAACCAUUUCAGUUAAGAAUGGUGAGUCAAGAGCUUGGCAUGGAGGUAUUACCAAGGAAGAGAUCUGUGUUGAGCCUGUGUGCAGAUCCUUAGCAUUUAAUUUAUUCUGCAAGGACACACAAGGUGGUAGGAAACCACUCCAGGGAACCCACCGAAGAGUCAAGCAAAGCAGAGCAUGGGUGCAAUCACAAGUCAUAGUGUGGGGUGGAGAGGCAAGGAUGGGGGAAGAGCAAAGAAAAGGAGGACUUCCCUCAGAAGACCUGCUACUUUUAAACUCAACCUUGGCCAAAGAACCAAGAAGCACUUUAGCAACUUCCCCAUGCUCGUCUCCAAAAUUUCCUAGGAUCUGAGAGGUGGAGGAGAGGGAGCUCCUUACAGGGAAAUGAACAGAGAGUGAUGGUGGGGCCUAGUUUGGGUUAGGCAAUGUGGGCUACUGUGAGGGUUUUAAAAUAUAAAUAUGCAGAACACAGAGGGCUUUUAGGGCAGUCAACUACUUUUAUGAUACUAUAAUGGUAGAUACCUGUCAUUAUACUUUUGUCCAAACCCAUAGACUGUACAAUACCAAGAAUUAACCCCAGUGUAAACUCUGAACGUUGAGUGAUAAGGAUGUGUCAGUGUAGGUUUAUCAGUUGUAACAAAUGGGCCCCUCUGUGGGGGAUGUUGAUAAUGGGGAGGCCAUGCAUGUGUGAAGGCAGGGAGUAGAGGGGAAAUCUCUAUACUUUCCAUUCAAUUUAGCUGUGAAUCCACAACUUUCCUAAAAACUAAACUAUAUUAAAAUAAAAAAUCUUAAAUAAAAAAACCACAUGUCUGCAAAUUAUAUGACAAUCCCCUUAGAGAGAGGGAAGGCCAGCUGGGCACAGUGGCUCAUGCCUGUAAUCCCAGCACUUUGGGAGGCUGAGGUGGGUAGAUCAUGAAUUCAGGGGUUCGAGACCAGCCUGGCCAACGUGGUGAAACCCCAUCUCUAUUAAAAAUACAAAACAUUAGCCAGGCUUGGUGGUGCAUGCCUGUAAUCCCAUCUACUCAGGACACUGAGGCAGGAGAAUCACUUGAACCCAGGAGGUGGAGGUUGUAAUGAGCUGAGAUCACACCAUUGCACUCCAGCCUGGGCAACAGAGUGAGACUUGGUCUCAAAAAAAAAAAAAAGAGAAAGAGACAGAGAGAGAGGGAAGGCCUAUAGCAUUUCCCCUUGUAUCUGAGCAAGCUUCUAACUUACUUGUAAUCAAAAGAAUGUGGCAGAAGUAAUGCUCCAUGACUUCCAAAGCCAAAUGGUAAAAGACCUUGCAGCCUCCAUCUUGUUCUCUGGAACAUUUGCACUUGGAGUUCUGAACCCCAAGCCACGGUGUAAGAAAUUCAACUGCCCUGAAACCACAACUACAAUGAAAGGAAUCUCAGGUGUCUGGAGCAGCCAUGUGUAAGAGUGCUGAAGGUCACAGCUGAGUCCUACCCCAGAGCCAGCAUCACCUGACUGACUUGUGAAUUAAUCAACAUUUCAUGAUCCCACUCUCCCACAGCCUUGAAUUCCCCACAGCCUUUGAGUCUUCCUAGUUGAGGCUCAGAUGUUGUGGAGCAGAGGUAAGCAGCCCCUGCCAUGCCCUGUUCAAAUUCCUGGCCCAUGAAAUCUGUGAGCCAAAAAAAAAAAAGUUAUUUUUAUGUUUUAUGCUCCUAAGUAGAUGCAAACUGUAGUGACUUGCAGGGCUUCCUUGAUCCAAUGAUGAGGAUUGGGGGUGUUGGAGGGUGACCUGUGUCAGAAAAAGGAGAAAGAGGAAUGCACAGACCAGGCCAUGCCACUAUGGAAGACAAACAAUGAUCUGAACAGUGCUAUUUGUACAGACGGUCCACAACUUAUAAUGGUUUGACUUACAAUUUUUUGACUUUAUAAUGACACGUAAGCAACAUGUGUUCAGUAGAAACCAUACUUCAAAUAUCCGCCUACCAUUCUGUUUUUCACUUUCAGUUCAGUAUUCAAUAAAUUACAUGAGAUAUUCAACACUUCGUUAUAAAAUGGGCUUUGCGUUAGAUGAUUUUGCCCAACUGCGGGCUAUGUCCUUGUUUGUUGCACGAACAUUGUUCAAGUAUGUUUAAGAUACGUUAGGCUAAGAGAUGAUGCUCAGCAGGUGAGGUGUAUUAAAUGCAUUUUCAAACUAUAAUAUUUUCAACAUACCCCGUCAUAAGUUGAGGAGAGUCUGUACUAUUUGCUUUUUUGAGGUGAAAAUGGAACCUCAUGUAAACACAUUUCACGAAGGAUCCCUGGGCCUGGCCUCUGGCAUCACAGCCUUGCAGUGGUCACUGGGGAUGCACACAGCCUCUCUUGACUGCUACCCUAAUCAACAGCAGACAGGAGCCUCCUCCUCUUCAGAGGCCCUUCCCGUGGUUGGAAGCCAAACAACUUCAUAGUGGGACAUCUGUCUAUUUCGCAUAGGCUCCUUGGAGAAAUGCUGGUGGACAGGAUUUGAAGACUUGCAGUCAGGAAUUCAUUCCUCCCAGCAGGGGAUGGGGGCUCAACUCCUGGUGACUCAGACCCUGGCAGGGGCUUCUGCCACUUCUUGCUUGUUCCCUCACCACCUCCCAGGGGUUUUUUUAGGUGAUGACAAAGAUUGUGUCUCCCCAAAAGGUAUCCCAAAAAC
rnacentral:lncRNA from 10 species